rnacentral:rRNA from 1 species
UACGUAGGGUGCAAGCGUUAAUCGGAAUUACUGGGCGUAAAGCGUGCGCAGGCGGUUAUGUAAGACAGAUGGGAAAUCCCCGGGCUCAACCUGGGAACUGCAUUUGUGACUGCAUAGCUAGAGUACGGUAGAGGGGGAUGGAAUUCCGCGUGUAGCAGUGAAAUGCGUAGAUAUCGGGAGGAACACCAGUGGCGAAGGCGACUACCUGGCCUGUUCUUGACGCUGAGGCGCGAAAGCUAGGGGAGCAAACGGG